rnacentral:rRNA from 1 species
AUUGAACGCUGGCGGCAGGCUUAACACAUGCAAGUCGAGCGGGGUGAUGGUGCUUGCACUAUCACUUAGCGGCGGACGGGUGAGUGAUGCUUAGGAAUCUGCCUAUUAGUGGGGGACAACAUCUCGAAAGGGAUGCUAAUACCGCAUACGUCCUACGGGAGAAAGCAGGGGAUCACUUGUGACCUUGCGCUAAUAGAUGAGCAUAAGUCGGAUUGGCUAGUUGGUGGGGUAAAGGCCUACCAAGGCGACGAUCUGUAGCGGGACUGAGAGGAUGAUCCGCCACACUGGGACUGAGACACGGCCCAGACUCCUACGGGAUGCAGCAGUGGGGAAUAUUGGACAAUGGGGGGAACCCUGAUCCAGCCAUGCCGCGUGUGUGAAGAAGGCCUUAUGGUUGUAAAGCACUUUAAGCGAGGAGGAGGCUCUUUUGGUUAAUACCCAAGAUGAGUGGACGUUACUCGCAGAAUAAGCACCGGCUAACUCUGUGCCAGCCGCCGCCGUAA